rnacentral:lncRNA from 1 species
CUGGCUGUUUAUGACGUCUUUACACUAAAUCCAUUGGAUGUUGGAUGUGUACGGAUUGAUAGUUUAGUCUUAGAUGCAUGGUUUUUUUUUAUUAGUUGUUAGUGGCUUUGAACUAGCUGUCAGAUAACUGCGAGUACUUUCAGAUCUGUUCAUUGUGUCUUUUUUGUGUUUGGAUGUAUGAUGUAUAAGUACCCGGCCACGUCCACUUGAAUUUUUUGUCCAUCUGAUGAGUUAAGCCUUUUUCAACUAAUUUUUUAAUGUCGUUCUUAUGUUGUACUGUUAUACCACUGUCCCAGGUUAGGGGAGGGUUGGGAUCCCGCUAACAUGUUUAACCCCGCCACAUUAUUUAUGUAUGUGCCUGUCUCAAGUCAGGAGCCUGUAAUUCAGUGGUUGUCGUUUGUUUAUGUGUUACAUAUUUGUUUUUCGUUCAUUUUUUUUUUACAUAAAUGAGUCCGUUAGUUUUCUCGUUUGAAUUGUUUUACAUUGUCUUAUCGGGGCCUUUUAUAGCUGACUAUGCGGUAUGGGCUUUGCUCAUUGUUGAAGGCCGUACGGUGACCUAUAGCUGUUAAUGUCUGUGUUAUUUUGGUCUUUUGUGGAUAGUUGUCUCAUUGGCAUUCAUACCACAUCUUUUUUUUUUUAUAUAACUCGGAAAGCAAUUGUAGAUAAAACAGUUUUGCU